CACGGCCGUGUUUCCUUUUGCUGUGGUUCUGAACUAUUUGUUGAUUUCCAGUGUUUCCAUGGUGUCUUCAAGCAUGUUCACCCACGCUUCGAUCCCUUUCCCGUCGGAUCUGCUCAUCAGUAUCACCAAAUUCUUGAAUGGCAAUGGCGUCGUGCACACCCACGCUGGCUUCCCCCACCCGUAAUCCACUUCGUACAGCGGGAACCUACACCAACUGCUGAAAUUGCACAUGCUCGUUCCUUCCUGCUUCACCAGGGCUCCAAUAUUCUGCCUUAGGGUUAGGUGUGCUAGAUGGUGCAAUUCGUGGCCUUCCUGGUCUCCGUCGGCGUACGCCGGCGCUAUCAUGUAGCAAUUGCCGAAGGCUUCGUCGUCUCUGAGCGGAGGCGCCAUUCGAGGCCUCAUAUUCACAGGGUGAAGCGUCGCGAAGGUCGUGUAUCGAUUGCAUCGAUUUUGUUCGAUGAAAUGCCUCCAAAUAGAAGCCGACACAGCUUCCACUCUACUCGGAUCCUUCACCUCCGACCCCUGCGCCGUCGCAAUUGAAGUCUUCAAGGACGUUAGCUUCUGAUUAUCGUAAAUGAAUCGUCUCGUCACAAUUUUCUCACUGGAAAUGCCUUUGGACGGGUUCAGAUCAAGUCCAGGCAUGUCGACAGGGAGGAAUUGCUCCGCCAGGACAUGGAAGUUGGGAGCAACAACGCCGGCAGCUUCCCCGCGGCAUAUAGCCGCCCAUGCUUGCAUAAACAUUGCCAACGAAGUUCCGUCUGCUACUUUAUGCGACAGGCAAACUGCCACAGCGAUUCCUCCACAAUCAAAGAGAUUAGCCUGCACUAACAGGACAGCUGCUUCACUCUGUCGAGGAUGGUGCUGUGGCUGCACAGGUAGAUACUCUCUGAGCUCAUCCACAUCAGGAUCUUGUAUGACAUCUCUUAGCUGAGUGUGAACACAAGCUUUGAUGAAUUCAGCACCUUUGUCAUUGCAUUCAAUGAAUCUAUUGCCCUCUCGAAUUCGCCCUGCCAGUGGGUAGAACAUUGUUAGAGUAUUGGAUAAGGACUUCUUGAGGCGGAUGAGCAUAUCAUCGGGGCGAAACUGUUCAGGUUGAUUGGCUGUGUAGAAGAAUAUAAAGGGAGUGUAUAUUGGGACAGAUACUUGAUCAAGAAAGGAAAGUUUCAACUCCCUGAGGUGCAGUGGAGUUGGAGAUGACGGCUGGAUUGUUUCUCUGGAGAUGAUCUCCACUCGUUUCUCCAUCUUCACAACUUAAGUCAAAUAAUGUAUGCUGGUGGGAUGCUGGCAAAGAAAACUUUCGUGGUUAAGUCUCUAGUUGAGUAGGAAAUUGUCUGAUCGAAUAGGGAGGGCACCAGGACGAGUUAGAGUGGACCCAUCCUGACCAACCUCAAUAAGCAGUCCUCAGCUUCUCCACCAAGAGGAUCCAGUUGGUUUCUCCGUCAUUUUCUGCUUUCGCCAUUUGGAAAUUGUUUCCGAACGAAUGCUGAGUCAAUCCCUUUAUCCUUCCUCGCAAGUUCACCGGAUGAUAUGCCACAGACUUGUGUGAUUUCCCGGCAUUUUUGGCCAUCAGACAACGGCUCCACAAGAAUGCCGAAAGAACCUCUAUGCGGUUUUACAGAAUGAGGCUGGACUGCCGGGCUUUUCCAAUUGGGCGUAAAAUCUGGCGUGUUCUGUGGUGGGAAGAGUUUUGCCGAGUUAUAUGCAGGGUAGACCACUCUGCUAGCCUCCCCAGAUGCUAUAGACGUCCAGCAUUCGACAAACGAGCUGAGGGUGCAGACAUCUGCUACACUGUGUGAAAUGCAUAUGCCGACAGCGAUUCCUCCACCGUCAAACCAUGUAACCUGCAGGAUCGGACAAAUAAUGUUGGUAUGGACACAGUUAUAGUACAAGUGUCCUGUCCUAUUAGAACAUCCUUUUACUAACCUGAAUUGCCAGCAGUUCCUCAGCUUUUGUAACAGAGGCGUUGGAGUUGAAAGGGACAAGCUUAUCCAAAAUAAGAGAAUCUGCGGUUUUAACUACCUCAGAUAUCCUUCCGUCAGCAACAGCUUCCAUGUACACAAUCCCCUUGUCGUUGCAAUCGACUGAAGCCUGGCCUUUCAACCUUCCAGCCAGGGGGUAGAAAUGGACCAAAGCAUCUGACAGUGAACUCUUGAGCCUGCAAGACAUCUGGGAUUGGACAAUGCCUUUUCCUUCAUUAAGGUUGUAGUAAAUUACCAGAGGGAUGUAGAGAGGAGGGAUCCUCUCGUCGAUGAAAGAUCGCUGGAAGUUUCUGAGAUGAUUUGGAGUCGGAGAAGACGGUCUGAUGAGCUCUUUCGACACCCGUUGAACCUGCAUACUGCUCAUGCUUCCUGGUGAACAAAACAGGUAUGGAGCUUGUUAUGACAUUAUAGAGACAUCAUGCACAUUGGCUGUUUUACUAUACCUUGGUUGAGUUAAUUAAUUGGAUUAGAAAGAAUCUGGGCUUAGUUAAUGAUAAUAAGAAAAAAAGCCAGCCUA